CCUACGGGAGGCAGCAGUAGGGAAUCUUCCACAAUGGGCGAAAGCCUGAUGGAGCAACGCCGCGUGGGUGAAGAAGGUCUUCGGAUCGUAAAACCCUGUUGUUAGAGAAGAAAGUGCGUGAGAGUAACUGUUCACGUUUCGACGGUAUCUAACCAGAAAGCGACGGCUAACUACGUGCCAGCAGCCGCGGUAAUACGUAGGUGGCAAGCGUUAUCCGGAUUCAAUGGGCGUAAAGGGAACGCAGGCGGGAUAUUAAGUCUGAUGUGAAAGCCUUGGGCUUAACUGUAGAAGUGCAUUUGAAACUGGUAGACUAGAGUGUAGAAGAGGAGAGUGGAACUCCAUGUGUAGCGGUGAAAUGCGUAGAUAUAUGGAGGAACAUCAGUGGCGAAAGCGGCUCUCUAGUCUGUAACUGACGCUGAGGUGCGAAAGCGUGGGUAGCAAACAGGAUUAGAUACCCUAGUAGUC
rnacentral:rRNA from 1 species